rnacentral:lncRNA from 1 species
UGCCAUCCAUGUUUAUUCACUGGGUCUGGUUCACCAUCCAAAUGGCGUCAAUUACAAGGAGAAAACAGAAACUCCAAAAUAUUCGUAACUUUAGAUUUAAAAAGAAGUUAUUCCACAAAGAAACAAGAGGAAUGGUGAGGCAGCUGUUACAAGUGUCUGGUGAAGACUGGGUGGCUGCUGUCAAGGAGUACGUUGAUAAUAAUGGUAAGUUGUUCCUCCAUCCUGUGUACUCGAGAACUUUAAACUCAUACAGUGUAACUUAUUUUAUGCCUUAUUAUUGGGUAAUGUGUGUGUAUCAUUUUGCUGUAAAUAUAUAAAUAAGAGCAGUGGAAAUAAGUGUUACUAAUAUUGUAUGUCUUAUGCCGUAUUUUAGGUAACGUAACAUUGAUAUUUUUUCUCUUCAUUAUGAUAUGUUACUUUACCAUGCUGAGAGGUGGUGUCUAUACUAACAGCUGACCUAACCAACCAAAGAAACCUACCUAACUUGACCUAACCAACCAAAGAAACCUACCUAACUUUAACUAACCUGACCUAACCAACCAAAGAAACCUACCUAACUUUAACUAACCAAACCUAACCAACCAUACUCCAGUAACAGUUAAAACGCAAGACAACUUUUGUAGAAUCUCUUCAAUAUUUAUCCGAUGGGGUAUAGGUCACACUACAGCUUGCUUAACUCCAUGUCUCACGUUCGUCAGCGUGUUCUAGAAAUCAAAUAAAUAUCCAUGAUGAAUGUAGUUUUAGCUUGUUGGAAGGGUAUAACAAGUUAAAGUGCUUUGUAACUUAAUACAGUGUAUUCAAAGAAAAAAUUAAAGUCUACUGUUUUUCUCAAGUGAAGUUUUAAAGUAAAACUUCGUAUUUACAAUUAAAUCAUUUAUUACCGAAAUAUUUCAUAAUACUCGUACAAACAAUACCCGAAGCUGACCGACGCCUGCCUCCCAAGGGGUGACAGCUGAAGCCACACGUUCCGAGGUAAAGAAGUGAAAGUACUACUGUCACUUGGUUAUUUGGAGACAGAGGUUACCACGGUGUAGGAGCUCUUUUGUGCAACUGUAAUAAAGAAUUAGAAAUGGUUCAGUAGAAUAUUGACAGUAAAGUAAAUUUAAGUCGUAAAUGUUUGAUAUUUGGGUAACGAAUUUUUCUUUCCAGGUUGUGGAGGUGGAAAAAGAAGUGGAACCUCGUGCCUCAUUUAGUUUCGUUGCUGACGUGUCGACAAAGUGUAUGUGCUUCUGGACGCACCUGAAUAGAAAAGUUAAACCUUUUCGCAAAAUAAGUACAGUGUAUUAUGUUAGUUCUGAAAAAUGUAUUUGUUUUUAGGUCGUGUUGGAAAGUGCUGUAACCCGCUUGCCGAAAGGCUCGACUAACGGGGCAGUGUACUCGACUGUCUUCACUGAGCAAAUUGAAGUAUGGUAGCCAUCCGCUGGUGGGGGAGAAGCUGAUGUUGAAAAUGGUUAAAUGCUGUGAACAUUGGCCUGCUGCACCACCUCUUUAAAAGAUCUGCUGCAGUCCAGAAGACGUGAUUGUUGUUGUUGGAUAAUGCACAGGGCCAUUGAGUGAACGUGUUGGUAAUAAGAGCCUGUAGAGGUGUUGGUGUCGGACUGUGGCAGAAUUGUUGACCCUCGAGACGAGCAUGUCGACACUUCAUAUGGUUGUGGAGGUGAAAAACGGCCGGUAUUUUUUGAGUUGGGGACUACUGAUGGGUAGGUGUUGACUUCCUAUUUGUUAGUUUAUGAAAUGGUUUAGAAUUAAUAUUAGAGUUAAGUUUUGUCCCUCAGCUGUACAGUUUUGGUUUACCCUUAGUUGCCAAUAUAUGAAGGGGAGGAAACUCUAUCCAAUUCAUGGUGUGCCAGAGCCCGAUCUCUGUGCCUCGUUUAGUCUUGUCGCUGACACGUCGGCGACAAAAUGUACACACGUGUGGAUGCAGCUUAUUACAAAGUUUAAAUGUUUACCGCCAAAAAGCCUGGUGUAUUAUAUAUUGUCUGAAAUAUUUUAUAUUUUUCAGGCUUGAGGAUGGGUUGGAGAUGUGGUGGUGGUGGUGUAACCCGCUUGGUGAAAGGCUCGACUACUACUUUUAUGGGGCAGUGCACUUGACGGUCUUCAUGAACCAAGUAUGGUAGCCAUCCUCUGGUGGGGGAGAAGAAGCAGAUGUUUAAAAUGGGCCAAGUGGUGUAACCUUUGGCGUGCUGGACCACCUCUUGGAAGGAUCUGCUGCAGUCCAGAACACGUGAUUGUUGUUGGAUGAUGCACAGGGCCAUCGAGUGAACGUGUCGGUAAUAAGAGUCGUUAGAGCUGUGAGUAUUGUUUGUUGUACGGUAUUGAGGAAGACGGAUUACUUUGUUAGCUUUCACCAAUACUGUCUAGUAAUGUUAACAGUAAAAUAUUUGUAAUAUUGAUUUAAUAUAUUUUGUUCAGGUUGGUGUCUGGUGGUGGGUCAUGGCAGAAAUGUUUCCCCUAGAGACGAGCAUGUCGACACUACAUAUGGUGUUGUUAAAUUUUGUAAGACUGUAUUUAAAGUGGAAGGUGUUACCAAUUGUUUGUUUAUAAUGAAUUUGAGAG